UUCUGUAGUUCUGAGGGUUAUCAUACCACUGAGAGUAAAAGAUAAGUUGGUAACAGUGAAAGAGAAACCUCAUUUAAUGAAUGUUUUUGGAAUGUAUCAUCAGUCUGAAGUCACUAUAAAACGAUGUACUUGCAGGACAUUUUUCAGUGUGAUAAAUAUUUAAAUAUCACAGGAGUCCACUGGGCAUGGUGUCAUGUGCCUAUAAUCCCAGCUACUCAGGAGGCUGAGGCAGGAGGAUUGCUUGAGACCAGGAGUUUGAGGCCAGCCUGCACAAUAUAGCAAGACCCCGUCUCAACAACAACAACAACAACAACAACA
rnacentral:lncRNA from 1 species